CAACUGGUAACACAUUGGUUAUCCUGAGAGUGUUGUAAUUUUAGAUAAGACACAUUUGAGUCCUCAUGUUGGGUUUUGUAAUGGUGUAAAAAGAUUGAACUUGAGAGCUAAGGAAUGACUCACCAGUCUGGUCCUCUGUAGGCUGGCCUCUCAGAGCUGGAGUUGCCUCUUCAGGCUACUUGGGAACUAAAACUUGCCCCAGGGAAAUCUGCUUUGGUGGGUCUGUGCUGCAGACCACUGGGCCGCUGACCACAUCCUAGCCCUGCAAUUGCAAGACUAGAAACCUAGCCCUUGAUUGCGUGUGGAGGAUCCAGGGCUCUCCCAGUCAUGAAAUCCAAGGAUGGAGAGCAGGGCUGGAGGCCAAGGGCUGCCACAUCACACAGCUGGAACAAUAGACUUGGACACCAGGCCAUGGUCAUGCCAGGGGAGGGACUGAUGCUUCCCCCAGUGAUGCAGCUAAAAAUCCUCAUAGCCCAAGGAGAGGGGGCUGAGUUCCUCUUUCAGAACGUGAUGAGUAGAACAAUCAUCCUGAAUGCCCGCAUACGGUCCAGGAUGUGAUGGACAAUGGGGGAACUGCGAACCUGUUACUUCCUCUGCCUCUGUAAGUGCUCCCAAUAAACACUGCUCCAGACCAGCUGUGUGAGUGGUCGAGUCACAGUGGUGAGUGGUCGAAAAGGGAAUACAACUUUUUCUUCUUUUGACUUAGAGCUUAGCAAAACACAUUUAAAACAUUUGCACUGGUCAAGUCCCAACUGCAAAGUGUGGGCAAACUCAAAUUAGGAUAAUUCAGGAAGAGUUUAUUUACAAAAGAACUAAUUAUGAAGUGUGUGUGUGAGGUGUAGGGGAACUCUAAGGGGCAGUGCAGGAAGCCUGGCUAGCACCAGCAGAGCUGUUACCACCCCUCGGUCCAAAGGGCUGAAGGCUGGGAGAGGUUACCGGAACCUGGAAGGAGAAAGUCUUGCAGAGUAACUUACGUCAAGAAGAGCUGUGACUUCUGUCAGGGAACACAGUGAGCCCCAGGUCCCCUCACAAUGAAGAAGCCAGGGAAUGAAUACCGUGAUCUCAUCUCCACCCACUUCCACCCUGGACUUUCCAUUUGCUGAAUCCAAGUGGAAGUCUGAAAAUACAGGAGCCCAUUGGAUUUGAUCCAUUGAUACAGGUCAGCUUCCGGGGACAAAGAGCUUGGUGGAGAAAGGAAGAAGGUGGGUCUGAAGGUGCAAACACGUCAUUAUCCAAAACAUUCUCACUCCAACCAUAGCAUUUCUAAAAGACUUCUCCUGACAGCCUGCCAUUGAUGUGUCAAGGCAGGAAACAAAGUAAAAGGAAUUAUGUAUUCAUAAUCCUGACUUAACUUCUUUUCCAGAUCUACUAGUGUGUUUCAUCAUCACUUUGGCUUUAAGUACCCAAACUGAAGACAGUCAUCAGCAGUAGGAUGGAUAACUUAUGGUAUCUUCAUUCAGUGGAAUACUGUAAAGAAAUGAAAAAGAACAAAAUGCAACAAUAUGAAGAAUUGUCAUUGACAUACUGUUGAGCAAAAUAAGCCAAACACAAAAGAAGACGUUCUAUAUGAUUCAAUUAUAUAAUUCAGGAUAAAAAAAAAAAAAAGGUUUAAGAACAUGGUCCUGACAGAGGAUACGCACCAGCCACUAUGUCAUAUCAGAAUCUGUGUUCCUAUGGUUACUGCAGGGUUUUACAUAGAAGAAUUGGAGUCAGAAAAGUCCCUAAGCCGAGCCACAUUCUCAUGCUGGGCCAUCUGCCGUUUUAUUUCAUCAUCAAGUAAGCCACAGGACUGAUUGUGAAAUUCCUCUUCUUUCUUCAGAAGAUAUAUGACAUGUUCAAAACUGGAAGAGGCCUUGAGGGGCUCGAUUUGGUUGAAGAUAUUUUGCUAUAAUUAUCCUGGACAACACAAGAAUCACAGACCUUAUGAGGAGAAAGAGGCGAAUAAACAGAAACAACAGUGUGCAGCCCAGGCCUUGGUAAAGUACUUACAUGAAACACCUACAUGGAAUUUUGAAGCCACCCUUCUGCACAGCUGUCCCUUCUUUGCUGGAUGGAGGGGGCAUGUGGCCAGGAAUGUGGGUAGCUUCUAGGAGCUAAGAGAGGCCCCAAGCUGAUGGCCAGCAGGAAAAUGGAGACCUCAGUCCUACAGUCAAAAGGAACUGAACUCAGCUGACAACUUGAAUAAACUUGGGAGUGAAUUCUUUCCCAGAAGCUCCAGAAAGUAACAACACCUGGAUGAAAACUUAAUUUCAGCCUGCGAGACCUAAGCAGAGGAUCUAGCUAAACUGUGCCUGGACUUCUGACCUACAG
rnacentral:lncRNA from 1 species